AUUGAACGCUGGCGGCAGGCCUAACACAUGCAAGUCGAGCGGAUGAAGGGAGCUUGCUCCUGGAUUCAGCGGCGGACGGGUGAGUAAUGCCUAGGAAUCUGCCUGGUAGUGGGGGAUAACGUCCGGAAACGGGCGCUAAUACCGCAUACGUCCUGAGGGAGAAAGUAGGGGAUCUUCGGACCUCACGCUAUCAGAUGAGCCUAGGUCGGAUUAGCUAGUUGGUGGGGUAAAGGCUUACCAAGGCGACGAUCCGUAACUGGUCUGAGAGGAUGAUCAGUCACACUGGAACUGAGACACGGUCCAGACUCCUACGGGAGGCAGCAGUGGGGAAUAUUGGACAAUGGGCGAAAGCCUGAUCCAGCCAUGCCGCGUGUGUGAAGAAGGUCUUCGGAUUGUAAAGCACUUUAAGUUGGGAGGAAGGGCAGUAAGUUAAUACCUUGCUGUUUUGACGUUACCAACAGAAUAAGCACCGGCUAACUUCGUG
rnacentral:rRNA from 1 species